AGUCACUGACAUUAGAUACCCGUGUAGUCCAGGGUGUAAACGCUGCAGACUUGGUGUUGGAAGUCCUUUGGGGGCAUUCAGUGCCGGAGAGAAGUUGUUAAGUCUGCUACUUGGGGAGUACGUCCGCAAGGAUGAAACUUAAAGGAAUGGGCGGGGGAGCACCGCAACGGGAGGAGCGUGCGGUUUAAUUGGAUUCAACACCGUAAAACUCACCAGGAAAGACUGCUACAUGAAAGCCGAGAUGAAGACUCUGCUAGAUUUUCAG
rnacentral:rRNA from 1 species